UACGAACGGUCCAAACGUUAUUCGGAAUCACUGGGCUUAAAGCGUCCGUAGGCGGCUCGGAAAGUAGGGUGUGAAAUCCCACGGCUCAACCGUGGAAUUGCGCUCUAAACUAUCGAGCUAGAGGGAGAUAGAGGUGAGCGGAACUGAUGGUGGAGCGGUGAAAUGCGUUGAUAUCAUCAGGAACACCGGAGGCGAAGGCGGCUCACUGGGUCUUUUCUGACGCUGAGGGACGAAAGCGUGGGGAGCAAACAGG
rnacentral:rRNA from 1 species